UUGUUAUCCAAGUUAGGUGUUCGUAACCUACAUUCACCUACUUGAGGGGGAGUGUUAGCGUAAGCAUUGGUUUGGUACGGUUGAGCUCGGUCUGGUUCGACUUGAGGAGCAAGCUUUGUUGGAGUCAAGAUAAGAUCGUAUCAUAGUUGUUAUAGAAUAUACUUAUAGAUUAUGAUAACUAAGGAUCUAUUGUUGAGAUCUCUUGUGAUGUAUAUAAUCUCAUUGUACGUAAUGAAUACGACAACACAUUCACAACACCUUCUUCCUAAGUUUACAACUUGUUUUGGUAAUGGUCCACUCUUAUUACAUAACCAAUUUCACAUGUCUUGUGGGGACUGUGUUUCUCAACUCAUGUUUUUUUUAAUACAGUUGUUUUGAAAGUUUUGGUUGAUCUCUUAAAUUGUCAAUGAGAAAAUUA
rnacentral:lncRNA from 1 species